UUGAGGUAACAGGACAGAGCAGGGGAACAGGCAGAGCAUGGAUGGAGUCAUCAACACAAUAGAGCUAAGAAAGUGAGAGUGACAGAGAAAUCAUUUGUUGUGGUUCUGCUCAUGCACUGCCUCUUCCCUGGCUCUGUCUCCUUUUCUCCUU
rfam:Vigna radiata var. radiata cultivar VC1973A scaffold_273, whole genome shotgun sequence